GACGGAGGGUGCAAGCGUUGUUCGGAUUGACUGGGCGUAAAGGGCGUGUAGGCGGUUUGUCAAGUCUGAUGUGAAAGCCCGGGGCUCAGCCCCGGAAGGGCAUCGGAAACUAGCCAGCUGGAGCGCGAUAGAGGAGGGUGGAAUUCCUGGUGUAGCGGUGAAAUGCGUAGAUAUCAGGAGGAACACCGGCGGCGAAGGCGGCCCUCUGGAUCGUUGCUGACGCUGAGACGCGAAAGCGUGGGGAGCAAACAGG
rnacentral:rRNA from 1 species